UUUUAUGGAGAGUUUGAUCCUGGCUCAGGAUGAACGCUGGCGGCGUGCCUAAUACAUGCAAGUCGAGCGAACGGACGAGAAGCUUGCUUCUCUGAUGUUAGCGGCGGACGGGUGAGUAACACGUGGAUAACCUACCUAUAAGACUGGGAUAACUUCGGGAAACCGGAGCUAAUACCGGAUGAUAUUUUGAACCGCAUGGUUCAAAAGUGAAAGACGGUCUUGCUGUCACUUAUAGAUGGAUCCGCGCUGCAUUAGCUAGUUGGUAAGGUAACGGCUUACCAAGGCAACGAUGCAUAGCCGACCUGAGA
rnacentral:rRNA from 1 species